UACGUAGGGGGCAAGCGUUGUCCGGAAUUAUUGGGCGUAAAGCGCGCGCAGGCGGUCCUUUAAGUCUGGUGUGAAAGUCCACGGCUCAACCGUGGGAUUGCAUUGGAAACUGGGGGACUUGAGUGCAGUAGAGGAGAGUGGAAUUCCUGGUGUAGCGGUGAAAUGCGUAGAUAUCCGGAGGAACACCGGUGGCGAAGGCGGCUUCCUGGACCGACACUGACGCUGAGGCGCGAAAGCUAGGGGAGCAAACGGG
rnacentral:rRNA from 1 species